rnacentral:rRNA from 1 species
UACAGAGGUCCCGAGCGUUGUUCGGAAUUACUGGGCGUAAAGGGCGCGUAGGCGGCCUGUUAAGUCGAACGUGAAAUCCCCGGGCUCAACCCGGGAACUGCGUCCGAUACUGGCAGGCUUGAAUCCGGGAGAGGGAUGCGGAAUUCCAGGUGUAGCGGUGAAAUGCGUAGAUAUCAGGAGGAACACCGGUGGCGAAGGCGGGUCUCUGGGCAGUAACUGACGCUGAGGAGCGAAAGCGUGGGGAGCGAACAGG